AAUCACACGGGGCCCAAAUAUAAUCACGGGGCCCGGGCCCGGCGUGGGGGUUGUAGGCCGGCGCCACAGCCUGAGGACACCGCGACCUCUGCCCCGCGGAGCGCGCCGAAUGCCGGGAAACUUUGCGGAAUGUGUCCAGGUGUUGAAGCUCUUGAUGGCGAAAGGAACAGCAAGAGGACCUUGUGCAUGAAUAAUUUGUUUCCAUACUACAGAAAGAAUCCCAGACUUCUUAGAGAACCCAGUGACUUUUUGCACCUUAAAUCUGUGAAAUCCUCAUGUUUUCUUCUGCCGUAUCCAUAGUUCAAACAAAGAUGAGGCAAAGCUAGACGCAUUCCUGAAGGAACCCAAGAAAUUCCUCUCUUUCUCUCUCUGGAAUGAAAUGAAUUCUCUAGACCACCAGUUCUAACCUUCAAAAACCAAACCUGUUUGUGAGCUGUCCUUCAAAUACUACUGUAGACCCCAGUGUUUAUUCAUUAAAUUUUUUAAAUAUUUGUUUUAUUUGGA
rnacentral:lncRNA from 1 species